rnacentral:rRNA from 1 species
GACGAACGCUGGCGGCGUGCUUAACACAUGCAAGUCGAACGGUGAAGCUCCAGCUUGCUGGAGUGGAUCAGUGGCGAACGGGUGAGUAACACGUGAGCAACCUGCCCCUGACUCUGGAAUAAGCGCUGGAAACGGCGUCUAAUACUGGAUACGAGAAGGGUCCGCAUGGGCACUUUCUGGAAAGUUUUUCGGUUGGGGAUGUGCUCGCGGCCUAUCAGCUUGUUGGUGAGGUAAUGGCUCACCAAGGCGACGACGGGUAGCCGGCCUGGGAGGGCGACCGGGCACACUGGGACUGAGACACGGCCCAGACUCCUACGGGAGGCAGCAGUGGGGAAUAUUGCACAAUGGGCGAAAGCCUGAUGCAGAGACGCCGCGUGAGGGAUGCCGGCCUUCGGGUUGUAAACCUCUUUCAGCAGGGAAGAAGCGAAAGUGACGGUACCUGCAGAAGAAGCACCGGCUAACUACGUG